CCAACUGUGAUGUCAUUGCAGACUCGCCUCACACGCUCAGUGAGCCCUGGACUGCAUGGAUCACGGAGCGGAUGUUUUAAUGGAUUUCUUUGCUCUGAGGUCACCGGGAUCCCAAGGUGAGAUAUCAGCCACUGAACCGCGAUGCAGAAGGAAGCCUGCCUUUCAUACACAGAAUGACCCACCAAGGAAGAAUACCUCAACCUGGUGGACGAGGUGAUCUACUGACUCCGGCAACACGAGGUGAUGGAGGGCCCAGCUGCCAGAGCCCCUGCGGUGCGGUCAAGGGACAUAAUGGAGGCGAUCUCCCCGUCUGGUGACCCGCAGCUCGCAGAGGAGGUGCGGCACAACCUGGUCCAGCUGAGAUGCGGAGUAGUUGGGGCUCUGUUAAGGCAGGUGCCCCUUGACAGUGGAUUGUCAAGAUGAUCAGUGCGCACUGUGCAUCACAAGGCAAGAGCAGAUUUUCACAUCAUCUGGCCUGGACUGUAAAUUCGUGUAACUCAAGGAGGAGGUACGGAGGGGACUGGCUUUCUCAAGGCUUUCGGGGGACCUAAAAAGAGCAGGAAGGUUGUACCUAUUCAUAUGCCGAGAAAUGUGACUGCCGGUCACUCCUGGAUGUGAGCCUGGCAUGAGGCAGGGCCCCCCUUCUUCCACCACCCCUCUCAGGUGUCCCGGCAUGGGGGGAGAGCAGAAUUUGCACCCACUUCUGUUUGUGUCAGCUGCUUGUGUCACCCUGUGUUAUCAAUUAUCUGUGCACUCCCAAAAGUACUGGGCAGCUAAUGCUAACGGCGGCACUAAGUUUGCAGUGUGCCGAUGUCAAUGUUGCCUCAGAUAAACACAAAGCCGCGGCACAUAAGAUCAGAGGGAGGGGAAACUCCGUCAGUGACACAGAAACCUCAAGUGUUUUCUAGGCACUGCCAGGUGCCUCGGUUACUGCCCACACUCAUGCUGACAGCGGUAGCAGGUCUGGACAAACACAAUCUGGAUGCCAGCUGCCUGGUGGGUUCCGGGAUGUUGCCAACAUCG